GCCUCAUUUUUUCAUUCCCAACUUUUCUUCUUUUCUCGUUCCCUCUUUUUAUUUUCAUUCCUGCCGAUUUCUUUCCCAAAGCCCUAAUUGACCCUAUGUCGACUCAAAUCCCUCUCACAUCCUCUUUGUCUUUCCAAUCCAUUCGUCUCCAUUCCCCACUGACUCAUCGUUGCCCUGCCAUUGCCGUUAAAUCGUAUAUUUUCUCUUCAGAUCUCCUAGUAUAACUGCUCAACAAUAUCCACAUCCAUCAUAAACUCGAGAAAAUUAAUCUGAAUUAGUCUUCAUCAACUUCCAAUUCUGGUUUCAAGUAGUGUGUAAACACCAUUUCCAUGUAUUUGACAAGGGGCUCAAAUUCAAAACGGCAACAAUCAUGAGUUCCAGGGAUCUAAUUAUAAGUGCAGUUAUAGAUUUAAGCAUUCAUGUAGUGGACAGUGGAAGGAAUUGUAUUCGAGGAAAGGUCUUCUUUGUUUUCACACUUUAUGUUGCUUCAAAAUACAAUGCCCAUAUGAAGGUACAUAUUCCUUUCUCCUGGUGAAAUUAAAUUUAAUUUCUUUUAAUCAUGCAUUGUAACUAAUUGUUAUAUCCAAGCAUACAUAGUUAGGAGCAAGAAAUCGAAAAGAUGCUACACGAUGGAUAAAUUCUUUUUAAGGAUUAUCUCAUGAAAAGGUACAAAUUGCUUAGCAUUCAAAACACACAACCAAAUUUCUAUUGCUAAUGACUAAUUUGCUCUAAUCAAUGUGGGCGAACCACAAUCCAGGAAACUUUUUGGUUGUCAUAGGUAUGAACAACAUUCGUAUUCUAGGUGCUUUAAACAACUAUCCUUAGCAUAACCACUUGCGAUGUGCAAGUCAAAUUAUUCUGGUAUAAUGUUUAAUAAGAAUGAUGUUGAUUCCAUCCUCUUUUUAGCCUCAAUCGUUGAUCCUAGAACUGCUGACAUAUAUGAACCAUCAUACUGGACAAUCUUUGGUUGUCACAAUAAACAUUAGAUAAUGAAAUGUAUCUUCCAUAUGGCCAAAUUAAAUGCUUAAAAUUAUGUUUUUUUACUUCAGGUAUCAGGCUAUGUAAACAACCAAUAUAUCAAAAAGAUAAUCAUCAGGUGGAGGGUAUGUGAUCUUUCAUGUAAAUAAAUAAAUAAAAAUAUCCAGGUUAAUGCAUCAUAAUUCACAUGCUUGGGGAGACGUAUUGGUUUCUUCUUUACAUAACUCUGUUUUUUUAAUCUUUAAUAGAUAAAAUUGUGUAGACUAUACUGAUGUCAAACUAUGUAUAGGAAAAAUGGAGCCUUGUCAUCUGAUGAUAUGGCAGGUCAAAUAACACUUGAAAAUAAUGGGAAAGUUCUAGACUUUUUCCCUGGAGGCUUAUCGGGAUAUGGCAUCUGCACUUUACGAGGCUAAUGGAAUUGACUAUACUAACCCUGAAGAGCUGGAGUUGUUGGUUGCAACACUGAUGGAUCUUAAUGCAAUGGAUGGUAAAUGGAGUGUGUCAUUAUUGACAAUGUGUUCAACUUCUCCUGGUGCCAAAAGAAGUGACAUUACUGCAGAAAAGCAUUGGCUAAUGCUUUGUUAGUUGCACCAUCGAUGUGGACCCUUGGCAAUGUAGGCAUGGGAGCCUUACAGCAUUUGAUUUCCAAAGCUCUUAGUUGGUACCAACAACUAUAUUUAUAAGGUUGGUUGCAUGUGAUCAAAAAAGGGCCAAUGGCAUCGGAGACCAUGAAGGAAAAAGUAAGUAGAACUUGGUUCUUCUAAUUCCAUGGAAUUUAACGGGAAUCGGAAUCCAGUUCCAUUAUGAUCCUUCUUUCGGAUGCAAGAUAUGAAGCAAUGUGGGAAUGAAAAAUAUGAGACGAAAUUGAGAUUAUGGUACAUUAUACAUGGAAAUAAAUAUCAAUCAAUAUUAAACUUUGAUAUUUGAUGAUUUUGAUCGUUUUGGUAAACAUUGAUAUUUGAUGUUUUUGGAUGUUUUGUUAAACUUUGAUAGUUGAUUUUGGUAUUUUAAUAUUAGUGUUUGGUUUUGGAUUGUAUAA